rfam:Chelonia mydas contig164518, whole genome shotgun sequence.
GGCAGGAUGGCCCAGUGGUUAGAGCCCUAGACUAGGGCUUGAGAGACCUGGUUUCAAUUUCCUGCUCUGCCA